GCUUUUCUAGCGUAGAAGAAAACGCAGAGGGCAACUUGUGGGCGUCGCAGAAGAAAGCUAUUUCGAAAGCUCAAGUCGUUGGGGAAGACGAAGGGGAAGGAGGUGAAUGCCCUAACGAAGGUGAGAAGUGAGAGGGUUCUGAUGGUAUUCUUUCUUUUGACAUUGAAGUGAGAAGAAACAUGAUUUUCUAUAUGUGGAUUGCUUUCUAAACUGAGUUUCUUACUGAGCAAUCUAUAUUGCCGGUGAAGGUUCCACCUCUUCUACACAAAGUAGUGGCUAUAUAGCAUAGGAUUCUCGGUAAGACAUUUCUUGAUCUCUGUUUUGAAUGCGAACCCAUGGCCACCUCAGAUCUUCUUUGCACUUUCAGUUUUUUAUUGGGCUCAUUAUUGUCUGUUUCGGGUCUGGGUUCCAUGUCUUCCAUUGCCAUCUGUUACGGUGAAGAAGGUUGUGUCUUUUGUGGUCUGAGGUCAGAUGGGUCUCAUUCUGUGAACUGUUGCAGAUCAAACUCAACCAUAGUCUAUGGAACACCAACUCAUUUCCCACUUUUGGGUCCAACCGCAGGGACAUGGGGAAGAUAGUAAUGGGCUAAAGUCGAAGAUGGCUCAGGAGAGGAACAUGGAGAAGAAUAAGGCCCCAAAUGGAAGCCAGUUGGAUUCAAACAAGAAAGCAAUGACCAUCUGUGCAGCAAUUGACACGCACAUUGAGAAAAGGUUGCAAUAAAAAAAUAUUUAUAUAUUUUAGCAUAUCUCUAAUGCCAUUAGAAACCUUCGUGAGGUCAAGUUGCUACGGCUUUUAAGACACUCUGAUAUUCUUGAGAUUAGUGUUGAAAAGAACUAUAAGAAAAAUUGCUUUUUAUGUGGCAGCUCAUGAACCUGUCCACUUAUUAAUGAUCCCAAAGAACGAGCUCCAUACAUAUGCCCUGCAAUGAAAACAUUUGAGUUUCUGAAUCUUUUCCUCCAUCUUUCUCUGUGUCUGUUGCUCUGGAUCUUUGAAAGUUCAUGUUCUUUUAAGCUUAUGAACUGGACCAAGCUUUCUUUCAUCUUCUCGUUUAUGGAAAUUGGGCCAAAAUAAUCUUUCUCAUGGCUUUUAGAAUGAAAAAGAAGAUUUUUUUUUUCCUGGGAUUUGUGACUUAGGAUGUUAUUUUUGACUAGAGAAACCAUUUUUUGGGUUCUUAUCAUUAUUGCCUUCUUUGCUAUCUGUUUUUUAAACAUCAUUUUGUUGUGGAAGUAGAAUCAUUUUAUUAUAUAUAUGUGUGUGUGUGCUGUGUUUGUUGUUUUUAUUUGAACAAGAUCUCAUCCUGAGCUAUAACGCAACUGUUGUAUCCUCCCUUAUCAGCUUUCAAUAGCCACAACCACAAUUCUGAAUGGUGCAAUUUUUACGAGUGCAACAUAUGAACAUCCCACAAUAGUUGCUAUGUUUUUGUAAAUAUAUGAUAUAUCAGCUUUCUAGGAACUUUUCAUUUCUGUCAUUUUACUUAGCCGUGUCUACUGUGUUCAAGUUUGGAUUCAUUUAGCUUGUAUUUGUCCUGCUUCUUACCGCCUGCAGUAUCAAACUUAAAACAUGGGUUCUCAACUUUUCCUAGGUAAUACAUGAUAUAUGGAAUUUAUCCUUGUUGA